UCAUUUCUCUGUGUCUCUCUUGAUGAUGGACACUUGCCCAGCUACACUGUUGCUACUAAAUUCAAUUCUAAGACAAUGAGAAUGAAGAUGAUACAACUGAAAAAUAAUCUGGAAGAGACUGUCAAGGAGCAGAUCAAGACAUUGACUACAUCAGAAGGACCAGAAUAAUGAUACGAGGAUAUUGAGUGAUCUCGAAGCUUCAUCUUCCACCUAACAGCCCCCUGCACCUCGGAGCUGAGAGGAGUUUUUAAAUUG